UCCCUGGUGACUCAGUUGGUAAAGAAUCUGUCUGCAAUGCAGGAGACCCAGGUUCAAUCCCUGGCUGGGGAA